UGAUUCCGUGUCUGUGGUUGAAAAUCCAGGCCAGUCGCAGGCAAAAGGAUCCACGUAAGCAGACCGUUCGCGGGCUGUGAGCAUGGUGCGGUUUAGAUGUAAGACCUGCGGAAAAUACUAUACCCUUCAUGUCCGCAGGCGAGUGUGGGGGCAAAGACCAGGUCAGACGGAAUCU
rnacentral:ncRNA from 1 species